CAUGGGAUCAGGAUGCAGCUGUAACAGGCAGGAGCUGGAGACAAGGAGCAGGCAAGGCAGGCCCUGCCUGGCCAUAGUCCUUCCACUCAUCACAGAACCUUCGUGAAACAAUUCAAACAAGGAACCAAGCUUAAAGCAUACAAAAAUGAGAAAGAUGUGGCUGCCUGCAGCUAGCAAAUGAUACCAAAGUAGACACGACCCAAGAACCCAUGAUGCACAGUACUGAAGGACUGUUCUCCAUCAAUGUGAAAAAUAUAUUCAAGGAAAUAUCUCAAGGAUAAAUGGCUUCAAUAGAACGCAUUUCUCCUGGAUUUAAAAGGAUUUCUGGUUCUUUGUUCAUGCUGUGUCAAGGAGCAGAAGGGAUUUCUUUCACAUUAGGUUAUUUUCCAAAAGAAAUUCAUAUUCCACCUAGAAAAGGAGACACCUCUCAAAAGGCCUGUUGUCACUAGAAGCACCUCCUGAGACCAGAACUGUCAGCACAAUGUGUGACGCCCAGCAGGAAGGUGAGGAGGGAUUGACACUCAGCAGGAAAGGAGGGCAGGGAAGAUGGAAGUCUGGGACAGCACAUGCCCUGCUCUAUGAUGACCCCUUCCUGGCUUCUCUGGGUUGAUGGUGCAUAAAGUAGCUAAAUGUUCUCAA